rnacentral:lncRNA from 1 species
GUUUUGGGAGUUAAAUAGUCUUCUCUCAGAUGUUAUUUUAAAUGCCCUCUACUCCUCUUUUUUUUUUUUUUUUUGUUAAGAAAACUAGGCCUUAGCUCUUCAGGUAAUGGUGAACAGUUUUAGUGCUAGAGAACAUUCUCUCUCAUGUUUUGGACAUGGGUCUGAGUACAUUAAAUGUGUUCAUGCAUCUUAUAUUGUAAAAUACAAUGUAAUUCUUAUUUUGUGAGUAGGAGGGUAGAUGGUAGUGCUGAAUUCCAUGUGUUAGUCCAGGCAUGGGAGGCAGAUGGCAAAAUGGUGUUAACUGUGCCAAGAUUCCAGUAGAGGACACGACUGUGUGAGAGAAAAUGAGAGUAUCAGAAAAGUCUGGGAGAGUUUCAGCUCGCCCUGCAAGCCUGGAAGAGGAGGGGGUGGGAAGGUUAGGUGGGAGCAUUGUGGUUUUGAAACAGCUGCGCAGUUUAAAAGGUUUGUGAGGGCACUGGGGAGUCUUUGGGCCAAGAUCAACCUUCAGAAGAGUCCAGCGUCUCCCAGAAACCGGGCUGCCUUGGCGUUCCUGAGGAUGUUUUGGAGAACUCUGUGUUACCUGGUUCUAACAUCACUAAUGAUGGAUGCUGUUUCUUUUUUAAAAAGGAAAACAAAAAGAUGCCUUAGUUCCAUGGAAGGCUGCUCUGAGGUGUAUUCUGCUAAGUGGAGUCCAGACAGAACACGGAGAAGCUCCUUGAUUGCAUCUCUCCCCUGCCUUACUGUUUUCUGCUGCUCUUGA